UAGGGAAUAUUGGACAAUGGGCGCAAGCCUGAUCCAGCCAUGCCGCGUGAGUGAAGAAGGCCCUCGGGUUGUAAAGCUCUUUUAUUGGGGAAGAAAAGCAGUCGGUUAAUACCUGAUUGUCCUGACGGUACCCAAAGAAUAAGCACCGGCUAACUUCGUGCCAGCAGCCGCGGUAAUACGAAGGGUGCAAGCGUUACUCGGAAUUACUGGGCGUAAAGCGUGCGUAGGUGGUUUGUUAAGUCUGAUGUGAAAGCCCUGGGCUCAACCUGGGAAUGGCACUGGAUACUGGCAAGCUAGAGUGUGGCAGAGGGUAGUGGAAUUCCUGGUGUAGCAGUGAAAUGCGUAGAGAUCAGGAGGAACAUCCGUGGCGAAGGCGACUGCCUGGGCCAACACUGACACUGAGGCACGAAAGCGUGGGGAGCAAACA
rnacentral:rRNA from 1 species